rnacentral:ribozyme from 1 species
AAAAAAGAAAAAAACAAAACAUUCCCAUGUUUCUUGUUCCCAUUCUUUUUGUUUGUUUCUUCUUUAUUUUUUCCAACUGUU